UAUAAUCAAAUUCUAUAAUCCAAACCAUGACAACUGCAUGCUAAUUUUAAAUUCUACGAUAUUUCAGUGUCAAAUUGGAUGAUUAGUGCCUUUUUUUUUUCUAGUCUUGAACACGUACAAUUAAGACUCUACUACUUCCUAUUCUAGGCAUAAACAUGCAUGCAAGAUAUAUGCAGAUAGAGCUAGAGUAGUUGAGUCACAAGGUCCGUACGACACAUAUGUAUUGUGUAUUUAUGGAGAAUAUGACCAGAUAUAUUUGCGAGGGAGGUAUGCAUUUUUACUUUAAAAUUUAUUUUCUAUUCAUGUUUUAUAUUGCUUCUAAUUUUAAAUUUUGUAUUUUUAGUGUUACGAAGGUAUGUUUGAAAUAUAUAAAUAGCGAUAAGAAUAUCAUCACUCUAAACACUCUAGAAGAGAAUUGUUUCAUUUGAUUCCAUUCGAGACAGUGGACUAGCCUACCUCGCCCCACAUGUUUCAAUAGAGUUGAUCAUAACUUCUUGAUAACUUUCUUAGGGAGGUAGCACAAGAAGACAAAUGCCUUUUAGUUAGUGAGAUGACAAUGAUACAUAACAGCGUGUGGUGUCUUAUACAUAUAUUUAUGCAAGGAUAUCUCAUUUGCUAAAGAGGAAGGGGAAAUUUGAUGGAUGGGUUUUUCAGAUCAGAUCUGAUGAGUGAAGGUGAAAAAAAUACACAAGAAUGGAGAAUGUUGAAUUGUGUAUUUGAAUUAUUUUUCACUUCUAAAUAAUUAAUUUUAAAAUCUGAUCUAAGAGUUGUUAGCAGUAAAAUGAAUAAUAUUCAGAAGCAAGAAGUAAAACAACAAAGAGUUUAUUCUGGUUCCUCCCACAAACAAAAUAGUCCAAUCCCCUUGUCCAACAAAAGAUUUUCACUAUAAUCAAACAAAUUACACUUUGCUCAAACAAACUAGCAAGAGACUUUAAUUGCUCAAGCACGCAUGCAAGAGGCUUCUUCUCAAGCACACAGGCAAGAGGCUUUAGGUCAAGCACACAGACAAGAGGCUUCCACUGCUCAAGCAAACUAGCAAGAGACUUCCACUACUCAAGCAAACCAGCAAAAGACUUUCUAUACUCUAAACAAAUAGUUUAGGAAAAUAGAUAACAACUAUACUUGAUGUAAAAUCAUAAGUAUAGAAGUGACACAACACACACAAAGAUUCUUAGACACUUAAGAUUUCUAAAAUAUACAAAGAUAAGAAAUCUCAAGAACUUGUGCGGUAAACAAUUAUAAAAAAUUGAGCAGAACACUGAGGGUAAUUCUUCUAAGAACAAGGAACUUCAUCAAAACCUCAGAGUCUGGCUGAAGAUCAUUCUGGGGACAAAUAAUCACCGUCCAACAUCCAACUCUUUAGAAUACAUAAAAAAUGAUCAGAAGUGUAUACUCUACUGCCUCAACAAAGGGCUCAAGCUGAAUCUGCCAGUGCUACUGUUCAAGUACUUUAGGGACUUUGUAAGAGACACCAGGAACAACAUGAAGCCCAGAACCUACAUCCCUCUGGGAAGACUGAUUUCCGACGUUCUGAUAGAGAGCGGCUUGGUGGAUCAUCUGAUCCAUCACAAUCUGAUGGAGGAUGUAAGUGUUGACAUUGAGAGGCUUCUGAAUGCACGUAAUCUGAAGAGCAUGGGGGUAAUUGAGCAGAUUCGGGUAAAGCCCUCGUUGGACACCUCCUGGGAAGCCCUGAAAGAUCAGAGGAAGAUACCAAAUGGCCUCUACCUCUUUUUGAAAAUUGAUCCUCCAGAGGUUGUUGCAUACUAUCUGCAGGAUCUGGCCAACCAAGGAAUGAACAUCUCAGAUUUCUCUGUGAAUUGACUGCCUGAGCAUCCACCGAAUUUCAUGAAGAGAAUGCGAGAACCUUAUGAGAAGUCAAAGAAGGCCAAGAAAUCAAAGCUGGGGGAAGCCUCUGUAUCAAGACCUCUUGUCCCUCUGAUCGAAUCUCCAAGUAAGUCUCUGCCUCAUAACUCUCCCUCUGUUAAUUUAAAGCAACUUGCUUCUUCCCUUCCUAAAACCUCACCUAUCUACACACACUCUGAACCUUCACCCUCCACUACUAAACCCUAUGAAACACCUACCUCUAACGAACCUUCACCCCCUCUUCCAAAAAUUUAACCUCACCACCACAACCUUACCCAUCUCUGAAGCUGAAUUGUUCAAUGAACCAAUAUCACCACCCUCUUCAACACCUUCAUCCCCAUCUUGCUACACCAUCUCCUCUGACUCAGAGCCCUAUGACCCCCAAUCUCCCACCUUGGCUCAGCUUCAGGCUCGUGCCCUUUCCACACACCACCAAUAUGAACUAGAAGCUAACAUUCCAUCACCAUCGGAGCAACCGACACCACCACCACCUGAACCUCCCAUCGAAACACCCUCUGAAAACCCUAUCAUCCAUAACUCUCAACCUCCCGAUAAAACCACCCACACACCACCAUCAUCUCUAUCUCCUACCCCUGAACCAAAACCUACCUUCCCCACCCUGGAAGAAGCAAUUACUUUAUUUACUGAGUCUUCAGUGGAGAAGAUCAGAUCAUUAUCUGAAAAUUUUGGUAUCAGUAACGAUCCCUCUGCAGUGAGGAUUCACUGGAACAUAGUGAUCAGAUGGAUGACCUCUGAGGCUUUCAAGCUGAAAGGCCUUUCUGAACAAGUCCGAAACGACUUCAUCAGAGAAGCUGGAGAGAGGCUGCAAGCACGUCUGGUCAGAGAGGAAGAAGAGAAGGCCAGAAGAGAAGCAGAAGAGAAGGCUCGUUUGGAAGAAAUGCAAAGGGCUAGAGAAACUGCAAAGAAAGAUGCUGCUGAAGCUGAAGAAAAAGCAAAAGAUGAUGCUGUAGAGGCAGCACGUAUAACUGCAGAAGAAGCUCCAAAGGCAAGAAAUGAUGCUCUGACUCAGGGGGAGCAAUCUCAUUCUAAUUUUUCUCCUCUUGUUCUGAAGACUAUGGAAGAGCUACAUAAGGAGCAACAGAUAGUGAGAGCAAGACUGGACCAACAGGACUCCGUCAACAACAACAUUCAGAACCUGCUGACUCAGCUGCUCCAAAGGAUGCCUCCGCCUCCGAACCCUUAGGCACUUAGGCUUUUCUUGUUGUUUCUCUUACUUAUCUGCUAUGUAUUUUGUUUUCUUAUCUCUAUUUUGAAUAGCUGCUUAUCUGUAAUUAUAUUUCUCAUAUAUGAAUCUGAUUUUGACUACUCUCUAAUGUGCUGUCUUUUUGAGUCUCACAAAAAGGGGGAGAAUAAAAACAACUCUAAUAAAAAUAUAUCUAACACCUCUUGCUGCACUGCGCAUAUUAAUAUCUUAUGAAAAUUCUAAGCUAUGCAAGAAACAUCUAAAGGUAAAAACUAGCUGCUACACAAGGAAGAUCUGGUAAGAAUAUCUGAAAACCUGGUAUGAUAUAUCUCAGGGGGAGUUAUCACUCAUCUGUUAGUAUCAUUGUUUCAUCACCACUCUGAGGUUUUUGGCAUCAUCGAAAAGGGGGAGAUUAUAAGAACAAGAUUCCGUGUCUACAAUUCAUAUCUAAGAUUUUGAUGAUAACAAAGGAUGAAACAAAUUGGUACCCUCACACAACUUAUAUAAGUGUUCAGGACUCUAAUCAAAAAGAGGUCAGAUAGACAUACAUCAGAUAUACACGCAAGACCAGAAUGACCACUUAGAAGUUAUUCAGGUAGAAGUUCUAACUCUGAACACAAAUGAAGCAUACAAAGCUCAACGAAGAAAGAGGUAUUAGACGUUCUGAAUCUGAAGAGCGCACUCUAGGGUCUGAGACUUUUACACUCUGAUGUAAUCACUAUCAGGAAGACAUCAAGAACCUCCGAAGUCAAUAAACUUUAAGCACAUAUAUGGAGAUUCACACGCCGAACAAAAACUUUGAUUCUGGACACUCUAAAUCAGAAACGAUCAAUAAGACUUAGCUAUGAAGUCUUCCGCUUAUGGCAAGAAUCUAUUUUUGGAAGAAAGUUAACACACCCCAAACUGCUAUGGGAAUAACAAAGAGAUUAAUUACAUUAAAAUGUCCAUCAUUGCCAAGACCUUUGUCUUCCAACGGUCUCUUCAUCAAAUCCCUAUAUAUAUAGGAUGGAUCAUCUUCAUAAGAAUUAACGAAGCACACGAGAAUACUGAACCUAAUCAAAAAUCUCUUAUUCAUUCUCUUUUCACACGAGUUGUUGCUCUAAGUGUGGACUAUUUUUUUCUGUUCUUAUAUUGUGUAAUUUCUACUUACCUAAAAGCACUAAGCACAUAACUAUAUUUCUCAUUAACUGCUGAAUAUUCCUCAAGUGACUUGUGAAGUCUGUAAACUUGAGAGGGCUAAGAGAUCUUUAUCCUCUUAGACACUCAGGGUUGUAAUCUUUCAAGAUUAGUGGAUUAAGUCCUUGUUGAAGGAGAAAUCACCUUGGCCGGGUGGACUGGAGUAACUUUGAAUUUCAAGGGAACCCGGAUAAACUUCUGUGUCAAUAGUAUUAUUUUUCGCAUGUGUUUUAUUUGCAAAAGUUUUUAUUAUCUGUGAAAACAAUUCAAACCCCCAUUUCUUGUUUUUCUCUACCUUCAUACUCUAAGUGAGGCUUGAAAUAUGUUAGAAUAAAGUUUAUAUUCUCUCAUGAAGGUUUCAUCCACAAACCAUGGCUCUAUGUUAAUUUUCUUUAAGACCGCCGUCUUCUUAUAUUCUUCAUGUUUGUUCAUCAUUGUAGCUAUGAUGGCAUCUUUGUUUUUGUGGUGGUAUUCUGGGUCUUUGACUAGACGAGGUCAUGGUGAUACUUAUGACAAGAGGAAGAACUUACAAAAUAAAAUAUACAAGAAAGUUUGAGAUGAAAGAAAAGUGAAGAUAUGAAUACCUAUUUAUAAUGUUCCAUAUAAGGAUUUGAGUGUGUAUUCCUGGAAAGCAUUCAAUGUAGAUUGUACUGAUCAAAAAUCAAUUCAAGAUCUUUCCUAAUUAUUUCAACCUUAAAAUAAAGUACACCUCCUUUAUCAAGGAUUCAUGAUAAAUAUUUACCAAAGAGGGGAACAAACUAAAUAGUAUAGUGUAUUGUCAUGUACACAUCGUUGGAUGUGAAAGUUGGUUAAACCAUAAGACAAAUAUGUCCAUUACAGACAUAUCCAUUCAUCUGAUCACUAAGGAUCAUAAACUCUGAGAUAUUCUCAAAUGAUUUGAUUUGAUCAUAAUGGUUUACAUUUUCCAUCAUCAUUCAUCCUUGGAUCAAAUCCUUCAUAAAUAUUGUACACUUUAUAAGUAUAUCAUGCUUUUCAUAACUUCAUUAAUAAUUGUUAAAACUCCAAGCUGCAAAGCAUACAUGCAAAACACUAUUUUUUCACCUUUGGUGCCCAUAUCUUUUUGGGCCCAAGUGCAUUAGUAAUAAAAGAUAUAAGGUGGUUACCUUUAUAUCCUUUAAAUUUAUUAAAACAAAAAGGUUCUAAGUGUCCUAUUCUCUUAGAGUGUGUGCAUUUAUAAAUUGGACACUUAUUGGCCUUUUGAUCUUCCCCUUUCUUGGGUUUUCUAUCCCUUUUAAAUCCUACUCCAUUUAUAUAUAUGGAGGAUCUUUGACUAGAUAAAACUAGGUCAAGCUUAUUUUUUCCUUGGGUAAAUUUUCCUAGGGUUUCACGAAGAUCAAGUACUUCUUUUAUGGCGGAGUCACACCACUUGCAUUAUCCUUUCGAAUUUCUAAGCUUAGUUAUCUUUAUUUUGAAAGAAUUGUUUAUUUCCUUAAGGUAUCUUACGAAUUCCUUAAGACCUAGGGUACACUCUCUUAGUUUAGCAUUUUCUUUCUCUAAUUGAUCAGACAUUCUAAAUAGUUGAGCUUAAGAUGAUUUGAUGCCUGCAACAAUAUCUCCCUCGUAGAAUGCCUUCAAGCAAAUUUCAUCUUCUUUGUUGGAAGAGGAUUCUUUCAUACUUCUCCCCGGGGUUGAUGUCUCUCCUCUUCUUCUUCUUUGUUCGAGUAUUGAAGAAACUUCUUCAUUUUCUUUGUCUUUCCUUGAACAAUGUGGUCCUUCAUUGGAUGUUGAAUCUUUCGAGCAUCAUUUAACUACCAAGUAUGUUCUUUCAAAGGACUACACAAGAGUUGUAUGAUAGGAGUAUGAUGAGGGUAAUGAUUCUUUAGUUUGAAUUUCUCCCUCUUUAAGUAGUUGAACUAGAAAGUUUAACUUUUCUAUAAUUUGCUUCUUUCUUGAUUUUUCCUAAAAUUCAUGAAGCAUCUCAUCUUUUGAUUUAAGAAUUGAAUUAAAUUUCCAAUUCUUGGUUCUUAGAUAUUUGUUAGUAAUACAGUAGUACCCAACAAAAUUUUCAAUAUUUUUGAAUUUAUAAAAAUAUCCAUAUAUCCUUUCAAGAGUCUCCCACAUUUCCUUGGAAUUUUUACAACGAUGAACAUCAUAAAGUUUACUAUCAUCUAAAGACAUUAUUAUAAAGUUCUUUGUUUUAAGAUCUAUGUGUAUCUUUAUCUUUUCUCCUCCGGUCUAAACGGAAUAUGGUUUAUUUACUACUUCAUCAUUUACUUGACGAGUAGGAUAAAUUGGACCAUUGACUAUUGUUUCUCACAAUUCAUGAUUUAUGCUUUGAAUAAAUAUUCUAAAUCUAGCUCACCAAAUAUUAAAGUUACUAUUUUUGAAAAGUGGUGGUAUGUUUUUACCAGAUAUCUUUUCGAAAGUUAUCUUCCUCCUGAGACAAUAUUCCUUAAGUAUGAGUUAGGCUAUGAUGUCACUUGUUGGACUUGAGAAUUCACACAUAAAAGAUGGUGAAUUGUAUGGUUAUGCAAAAUGUAAUUUUGAAAAACUUUGCAGAGUAAAAUCAGAGUUUAAAAACAUAUCUAAAUACUUAGCAACAUAAAUAAAAAACACAAUAUAAAUUGCAGAAAUUUAAACAGUUAAGGGAAAGAGAUGAACACCAGAAUGUAUAGAGAUUCGGGAAAACAAGAAAAUGACCUAGACCUCUCCCCAAAAUUUGAUCUUGAGAGAUUCAAAUAAACGUUGGUAGGUUUUAGUAGGAAAGACUCACGAACCCCCUUAAACAAGGAAAUGAUGGUUGACCUCCAACCAAUUAAUACAAGACUUCGGUAUUUAGAAACUUGAGUCUUCUCUUCCAAAUGGAAGAUUGAAGUGGUUGGUCUUCUCUCCACAAACAAGGAUCUUAGAGCGGUUAGUAUUCAAGUUCCUUAAACCUUACAAACUUUUACACGGGUGAGCUUAUGAACCUUUAAACGUUGGUUUUACAUGGGAUAAACCAAUAACCUGUGAGAUUUUAAUACCAGACUAAUAUAAAACCUAUGAAGCUUUUAAUACCAGGCUGAGCUCCAUCCUAUCUUGUUUUUAUCACGGGAUGACCAAGAACCUAAGAGUUUUUAACAUGGACUAAUCCCUAACUUAAAUUAGGGUUUGAUCACACAAUCACCAAACCAAAGUUUUUAACGAGUUUAGCUUAUAACCCAAACAAAUCCCUAAAUGGAUAAUAUUCAACCAAGGUAUAUACAAAAUAUUUCCUUGGUAAAUUUAUAAUUCUAUCCAUCCACAUUUACAAAAUAUUCUCACUCACAAAAGGACUUUUCUUACAAAUGCACCAUGGCCAAAAUAUUGGUGAGAGAAAGUAAGUAUAUAUUUGAGAGAGAGAGAGAGAGAGAGAGAGAGAGAGAGAGAGAGAGAGAGAGAGAGAGAUAGAGUUGUAUCAAAACACAAUUCUGGAUGAAAUGAAACAGGGAAGAGACCUCUAUUUAUAAGCUAGAGGUUGACUCAAAAAGGAAUUUCAAAUAAUUUUUUUUAUGACAAUCUAAUUGAUUGACACAUGUUUACAAUCGAUUAGAAGUUUGAAAUAAUAUCGAUUGUAAGUUCAAAAAAGGAAGGAAAAUAUAUCUAGCCAUUAAACAUCAUUAAGGCACUGCCCUAAUCGCUUAUGACUCAAUUUUGAUUUGAGCUAAUCGAUUAGACAAAAGUUUCAAUCGAUUAGAUAAGUAAAAAAAUUGCCUAUAACAAUUUUUAAAGUUCCUAUUUUAUAUUUCAUAACUUCAAGAUAUUUUUGAAAAUAUUUUAUUUGCUAAAAACAGUUUGAAAAUAUAUUUUAGUGAGUGUGAUUUAGCCAUGCCCUUUUACGAUAAAACCCAUCUACAUUAUAGUUGUUUCACUCACUACUUAAAUAAGAGAUUCCUAAGCACUUCAAGACAUUGCCAUAUGCUUUCUCUUUUGAAAACACUCGCUUGAUUAGCUUUGAUAUGAAGCUUUAGUUACAUUCCAUUUGGUCGCCAUCAUCAAAUAGUCAAGUUCGUUAUAUCGUAAUGAUUAAGUUUUCAUCUUUAUCUGCUUAAUCGUUCAUGCUUGACUUAUCAUAAGAUAUUAGUUGUCAUCAUUAAAAAUUGAUGUCCUUGUUAAAUCAUAUCACCUUCAAAACAAGGUUCCAACUAUAAUACUCAUUGGAUUAUUAAGAUACCUUUGUCACACAAGGCCUGACCUAACAUACAAUGUAGGCAUGGUGAGUAGGUUCAUGCAAAAGCCAAAGGUGUCUCAUAUUGUAGCCACUAAGAGAAUACUAAGGCAUCUCAAAGGAAUAUUAGAUUAUGGCUAUUUGUUUCCUGAAACAGAUGAAGGAAAGAAAUACAAGCUAGUGGAGUACAAUGACUCAAGUUGGUGUGGUAAUAUUGAGGAUAGAAAAUCCACAGCUGGUUAUAUGUUUAUGAUAGGAGAUGCACCGGUUUCUUGAAGCUCAAGAAAAGAACCAGUUGUAGCUCCGUCAUCAUGUGAGGGUGAGUACAUAGUUGCCUCUCUUUGUGCAUGUCAAGCAACAUGGAUGGUGAAUCUUAUAGAAGAUAAUGUAGGCGAAAAUCAUGGAGCAAUGAUCAUGAAGAUUAAUAACAUGUAUGUUGUCAAUUUGGCCAAUAAUCUGAUAGCACAUGGAAGAAGAAAACACAUUGGUAUGAGUUUUCAUUAUCUUAGAGAACAUGUAUCGAAAGGUCAAUUGAACUUGGAACAUUGCAUAAUUGAGAAUCAAAUUGUAGACAUCAUGAUAAAGGUUGUGCAUGUGGAAUUGUUCAAGAGAUUGAGAACUAUGAUAAAUGUAGGGCUUAGAUAGAACGAAUUUGAUGGUGUGUUAAAUAUGAAAUUCUUUAUGUUAAGCAUGUUUGUAAAGUGCAUAAUUCGACAGAGUAGAAGUCAAAUGUAUUCGACAGAGUAGUAGUUGAAUAUAGUUUGUAAUAGUUGAGUCUGCAUAUAUUCAAUUGAAGGUCGAAUACAACUUAUAGUAUAUGAAGGUGCAUGUAUUCGAUAAAGAUUCGAAUACGGUUAGUCGUGGUCUAAGCAUAUUGUAUUCGACAGAGUUAAAUAACAACUUGUUGAAGUUAGUCAGUCAGUUUGAGAUUGCGAGCCGUGCAAGCAAUCUCAUUAUAAAUAGGGAGAUACCCUGCAUUUGUAAAUAGUAUUGGAACAAGUUUUGUUCUACAUAUACAAUCCUUAUGUUUUGAUGAUAAAAAAGUAUAAAGAACAAUUUUAUACACUAAUAGGUAUAUUAAGUGUGCAGAAUCUUAAAGUUAAAGGAAGCAGAUUUUGAACUCUGGAUAAAGCAUAAUCUGGACAAAGCAAACUCUGAAUAAAGUAAAGUUUGAACUCUGACAAGAUACUCUGGACUCUGAACAAAAAAGACUCUUGACUCUGGACUUUAAUAAAUUUUAAAACAAGGUUGAAUUAUGAAGAAGUGUUUAAUUGAUAGUCAACCAUCAGAAUAACCAAGUCAAUGCUUCUGAAUAAAUAGUCCAGAUUUACUCUGAUAAUCCAAACCUCAUUUUCACUAGACUCUUCAAGGCUUUGAACUCUGAUAAAGCUUCAAAUACGAACCCAGUGAUUUAGAGUAUAAUGUUGAAAGAAUAUUCUUGGAAAUAGUAUAUUCAAGCGGAAAAAUAAAAUGUUUCCUUAAAAAGACAAAUAUGUUGGAAUUUAUAAAGAAUGUACUACGAACAGAUCUCCACAAUUCACGGCUCAACCUCGUACCAUUAUUACAACUCUAAAAUUGAAGAAUUUUCCAAUUUAUCCUCCAACAAUAUUAUUCAUCCUAUAUUUUAAGAAGACAAAGAAUUUUGAAGAAUAGAUGAAGAACAAGAAUAACAAUAAAGUGAGUAGAAAAAGAACAACAAACAAGAGAAAAAACGACUAUAACACUCAUUACACUUAGAACUUUUCUCGUAUGUUUUCUUAAGUGUAGACUCUGAAAUUCUUCUUGUGUUUCUUCUUGUUUAGAAAUAUUCUUGUAAACACACACUCUUUGUAUUUUAACUUUGGUUAAAUUUCUUUAGGGACUAAGUUUAGUAUGUAGCCUUGAGAAGUCAUUGACAAUUGAUCCUUGAGUUUGUAAGCUGUUUGAUUAGUGGAUUAACUCAUUGUGAGAAGGCGAAAUCACUCUGACGAGUGGACUGUAUUAUCUUAGUUAACUGUGAACCAGCAUAAAAAUCAUGUAUAUUUCUAUCAUUGUUGUUCUUGUCAUUAGUUUGUAAAAAAAUUGUCAUAUCUGAAACUUAAUUUAAACUCCCCUUUCUUGUGUUUCUUAAACCUUAAAGUAGUACAAUAUUAUUCAAUUCAAUAUACAUUCUUCUUCUUUUCUCCCAAAACCUAAAUUGUUCUCUCUCUUCUUUUUCUCUCUAAAAUUAUCUUCUCUCUUCAAAUCUUUGUGCGAGGGAAUCAUCUUUCAACCAAUAUAUGGUUGAAUCACUCGAAUGAAAAAUGAAAAAUGAAAAUUUUAAAUCAUAAAAAAAGUUAUUGAAUCUUGUUUUAUCAAGAUCAUUUCCAACACUAUCAAAAUCAAUUCCGUUCAAAUCAAUUCUAUAAGAAUAUUAUCAUUCAUUUAUUAAAAUAAUUAUUUUAAAUGAUAUGGUUGAUUUUUUACUCAAAAACAAAAAGGUAUGAGAUGUUAACUCAUUCCUUCAUAAUUUAAAGUUGGAUACAUUUUCAAUCCCCUUUAAAUAUUAAUCUUAUAUAUGACUAACCGAACAACAUAGGAAAAACACACUAAUGUUUAAUCUCAUUUAGUUUAGCUAAUUAAGAGGUCACAAAUUCAAACAUGCAUUUUUAUAUUUGAUGUUGGUUUUUAUAUUUGAUGUUCUUACACAGGUAUAACCUAAACUAAUUUAACGAGAUCAUUAGUGUUUAUUUGUUAAGUACCAAAAUUAUGACUUACAAGAAGAUAAUAUGCUUAAAACAUCAUAGAAUAAUUUUUCAACUUAUUCAUUUCACUGUCACACAGGUACACAUACCCCAGAUACACUUUGAAACUUGAUCAGGGUUACAUACAUAUGUACCACAUUCAUCGUUGUUAGCGCAGAACAUAGGAUCAUCUGUCAUGUCAAAUAAGGAUAAAGGAAUAUGAUUAAAAAGAGAUGGAAUAUUAUGAAUAUGAUACUGAAGAAUAUCAUUAAAAAGAGAGGAUUAUUAUGAAUAUAAGAAGAAUAUUAUUAAAAAGAGAUGGAUUAUUAUGAAUAUAAUAAAGAAGAAAAUUUGAAAUGGAUGUGAAAGAAAAACUUACC
rnacentral:lncRNA from 1 species